AAGUCGUAACAAGGUUUCCGUAGGUGAACCUGCGGAAGGAUCAUUAAUAAAGUUAACUCAUCGUUAUGGGUCUUAACUCAUAUCAACCUUUGUGUGCAUUUAAAUUGUAUCUGGCAGUUCUUAGCUAAAAGUUAAGACGAGUUAAGCGGCGAGGUUAAAGGACCGAGAUCUCAGAUCUCAGUCUUGAGAUCUCAAAGCUAAGCUUCGAUUAGCCCUUAGCUUCCUGCCAAAAGUUAAACCUUAGAUUUAUUAGUUAAAGCUAUAAGUUAAACUUAAACGUUUAAUAAAUAACAACUUUUGACAACGGAUCUCUUGGCUCUC
rnacentral:misc_RNA from 1 species